AUUUGAUAAGAAAUGGUGCACAGAGAAAGAAAUACUAGCUGAUUCAAUUGAGCAUUUAAUACAAGUAAAAUAUAUGUCAAACAAGGCAAAUUAUUCAUAAGAUAAUUAAUCAUAGCCUUUCAUGUCAAUAAGAGUUAGCAUAAAGGUCAUUAACUCACUCAACAAAUAUUUACUUAUAGCAGGAGAACUUUUUCUGUGCUGUAUGGAGCACCUCAUGCUACUUCACCAAGGCUGACGUCAUGUGGAAAAUGGCCAGUGAUUUUCGUGUCCACCCUGGAGUGUGAAAAGAAACGUCAAUUCAGGCUAGACCAAAGAAACCACCCACAAGGAGUCCCUGGAUAUGAAGGAAAUACUGCUGCAGUCACCGCUUCUCCAGCAAGGACCCUGAUGGCUUUGCCUGAACAGGCUCAUGGGGUAAGUGUGUCUCCUUCACAUUACACUAGACUGAGGCGGGGU
rnacentral:lncRNA from 1 species